AGGGUUCGAUUCUGGCUCAGGACGAACGCUGGCGGCGUGCCUAACACAUGCAAGUCGAACGAGAACCCGGAGCUUGCUCCGGGGGACAGUGGCGAACGGGUGAGUAACACGUGAGGAACCUGCCCUAGAGACCGGGACAACCAUUGGAAACGAUGGCUAAUACCGGAUGCCUUCACAUGGUCGCAUGACCGAGUGAAGAAAUGCUCAGGCGCUCUAGGAGGGUCUCGCGACCUAUCAGCUAGUUGGUGAGGUAAUGGCUCACCAAGGCAUCGACGGGUAGCUGGUCUGAGAGGACGAUCAGCCACACUGGGACUGAGACACGGCCCAGACUCCUACGGGAGGCAGCAGUGGGGAAUAUUGCGCAAUGGGCGAAAGCCUGACGCAGCAACGCCGCGUGAGGGAUGACGGCUUUCGGGUUGUAAACCUCUUUCAGGGAUGACGAAAAUGACGGUAGUCCCAGAAGAAGCUCCGGCCAACUACGUGCCAGCAGCCGCGGUAACACGUAGGGAGCAAGCGUUGUCCGGAUUUAUUGGGCGUAAAGAGCUCGUAGGCGGUUUUGUAAGUCGGAUGUGAAAACUCAGGGCUCAACCCUGAGAUGCCAUCCGAUACUGCAAUGACUAGAGUCCGGUAGGGGAGCAUGGAAUUCCUGGUGUAGCGGUGGAAUGCGCAGAUAUCAGGAGGAACACCAAUGGCGAAGGCAGUGCUCUGGGCCGGUACUGACGCUGAGGAGCGAAAGCAUGGGGAGCAAACAGGAUUAGAUACCCUGGUAGUCCAUGCCGUAAACGUUGGGCACUAGGUGUGGGACCUUCUAACGGGUUCCGUGCCGUAGCUAACGCAUUAAGUGCCCCGCCUGGGGAGUACGGGCCGCAAGGCUAAAACUCAAAGGAAUUGACGG
rnacentral:rRNA from 1 species